rnacentral:rRNA from 1 species
UACGUAGGGUGCGAGCGUUAAUCGGAAUUACUGGGCGUAAAGCGUGCGCAGGCGGUUCUGUAAGUCAGAUGUGAAAUCCCCGGGCUCAACCUGGGAACUGCGUUUGAAACUACAGGGCUAGAGUAUGGGAGAGGGAGGUAGAAUUCCACGUGUAGCAGUGAAAUGCGUAGAGAUGUGGAGGAAUACCAAUGGCGAAGGCAGCCUCCUGGCCUAAUACUGACGCUCAUGCACGAAAGCGUGGGGAGCAAACAGG